rnacentral:rRNA from 1 species
UACGUAGGGGGCAAGCGUUGUCCGGAUUUAUUGGGCGUAAAGAGCGUGUAGGCGGCCAAACAGGUCAGCUGUGAAAACUCGAGGCUCAACCUCGAGACGUCGGUUGAAACCGUAUGGCUAGAGUCCGGAAGAGGAGAGUGGAAUUCCCGGUGUAGCGGUGAAAUGCGCAGAUAUCGGGAAGAACACCCGUGGCGAAGGCGGCUCUCUGGGACGGUACUGACGCUGAGACGCGAAAGCGUGGGGAGCGAACAGG